rfam:Bacteriovorax sp. MedPE-SWde Bacteriovorax-sp-MedPE-SWde-C7, whole genome shotgun sequence.
CAGUACCGAAGGGGUGCAUCUUUCAGAUAGCUAUAGUUAGGAAUGUAAAGCAAUUGUUCCAACGAUCUAGAGUGAGGGGAAAGUUGCCGAAGCAGGAAUCUUGUUCUUUACACAGAUCUCUGCUGGUUACCAAGGGAGAAGCCUUGGAACUGUCAUCAUAGACUUUGAUGGAGCACUUCGGGGAUU